rnacentral:rRNA from 1 species
UACGUAGGUGGCGAGCGUUGUCCGGAUUUAUUGGGCGUAAAGCGCGCGCAGGCGGUGCGGUAAGUCUGUCGUGAAAUCUCCCGGCUCAACUGGGAGGGUGCGGUGGAGACUGCCGGACUAGAGGCACUCAGAGGCCGGUGGAAUUCCCGGUGUAGUGGUGAAAUGCGCAGAUAUCAGGAGGAACACCGGUGGCGAAGGCGGGUCUCUGGGCCGAUACUGACGCUGAGGAGCGAAAGCGUGGGGAGCGAACAGG